UACGUAGGGGGCGAGCGUUGUCCGGAUUUAUUGGGCGUAAAGAGCGUGUAGGCGGCCAGGUAGGUCCGUUGUGAAAACUCGAGGCUCAACCUCGAGACGUCGGCGGAAACCCUCUGGCUAGAGUCCGGAAGAGGAGAGUGGAAUUCCUGGUGUAGCGGUGAAAUGCGCAGAUAUCAGGAAGAACACCCGUGGCGAAGGCGGCUCUCUGGGACGGUACUGGCGCUGAGACGCGAAAGCGUGGGGAGCAAACAGG
rnacentral:rRNA from 1 species